rnacentral:rRNA from 1 species
AGUGGCGGACGGGUGAGUAACGCGUGAGAAUCUGCCUUGGGGUCGGGGACAACCACUGGAAACGGUGGCUAAUACCGGAUAAGCCGAUUGGUGAAAGAUUUAUUGCCCGAAGAGGAGCUCGCGUCUGAUUAGCUAGUUGGUGAGGUAAGAGCUCACCAAGGCAGCGAUCAGUAGCUGGUCUGAGAGGACGAUCAGCCACACUGGGACUGAGACACGGCCCAGACUCCUACGGGAGGCAGCAGUGGGGAAUUUUCCGCAAUGGGCGAAAGCCUGACGGAGCAAGACCGCGUGAGGGAGGAAGGCUCUUGGGUUGUAAACCUCCUUUCUCAGGGAAGAAGCUCUGACGGUACCUGAGGAAUCAGCCUCGGCUAACUCCGUGCCAGCAGCCGCGGUAAUACGGAGGAGGCAAGCGUUAUCCGGAAUUAUUGGGCGUAAAGCGUCCGCAGGUGGCGAUUCAAGUCUGCUGUCAAAGCACGGGGCUUAACUCCGUAAAGGCAGUGGAAACUGAAUAGCUAGAGUGCCGUAGGGGUAGAGGGAAUUCCCGGUGUAGCGGUGAAAUGCGUAGAGAUCGGGAAGAACAUCGGUGGCGAAAGCGCUCUACUGGACGGCAACUGACACUCAGGGACGAAAGCUAGGGGAGCGAAUGGGAUUAGAUACCCC